rnacentral:rRNA from 1 species
UUCGUAUGUCGGAUGUGAAAGCCCGGGGCUCAACCCCGGAACUGCAUUCGAAACUGCGGGACUAGAGUACAGGAUGGGAGAGCGGAAUUCUUGGUGUAGCGGUGAAAUGCGUUGAGAUCAAGAAGAACACCGGCGGCGAAGGCGGCUCUCUGGAAUGUUACUGACACUCAUGCACGAAAGCUGGGGUAGCAAACAGGAUUAGAUACCCUGGUAGUCCCAGCUGUAAGCUGUGUGCACUUGGUGUUGGCGGUAUUGACCCCGCCAGAGCCGGAGUUAACGCGUUAAGUGCACCGCCUGAGGAGUACGAUCGCAAGGUUAAAACUCAAAGAAAUUGACGGGGGCCCGCACAAGCGGAGGAGCAUGUGGCUUAAUUCGAUGCAACGCGAAGAACCUUACCUGGGUUUGACAUCGGAGAGGCUUGCCUCUAGCGCGUGAAAGCGCGUUAACCAGACAGGUGCUGCAUGGCUGUCGUCAGUUCGUGCCGUGAGGUGUUGGGUUAAGUCCCGCAACGAACGCAACCCUUAUGUUUAGUUGCCACCCCCGAGCAAUCGGGGCGCACUCUAGACAGACUGCCCGUACAAGCGGGAGGAAGGUGGGGAUGACGUCAAGUCCGUAUGGCCCUUACACCCAGGGCUGCACACGUGCUACAAUGGUCGGUACAGAGGGAUGCUACACCGCGAGGUUACGCAAAUCCCUAAAAGCCGGUCCCAGUUCGGAUUGCAGUCUGUAACUCGACUGCAUGAAGUUGGAUUCGCUAGUAACGGCGUAUCAGCUACGACGCCGUGAAUACGUUCCCGGGCCUUGUACACACCGCCCGUCACAUCAUGAAGCCGUCUGCACCCGAAGUCACUGAACCAACCAGCAAUGGAGGGAGGUGCCGAAGGUGUGGGUGGUGAUUGGGAUGAAGUCGUAA